rnacentral:rRNA from 1 species
AACGAACGCUGGCGGCAUGCCUAACACAUGCAAGUCGAACGAGACCUUCGGGUCUAGUGGCGCACGGGUGCGUAACGCGUGGGAACCUGCCCUUAGGUUCGGAAUAACUCCCCGAAAGGGGUGCUAAUACCGGAUAAUGUCUUCGGACCAAAGAUUUAUCGCCUUUGGAUGGGCCCGCGUUGGAUUAGCUAGUUGGUAGGGUAAAAGCCUACCAAGGCGACGAUCCAUAGCUGGUCUGAGAGGAUGAUCAGCCACACUGGGACUGAGACACGGCCCAGACUCCUACGGGAGGCAGCAGUGGGGAAUAUUGGACAAUGGGCGAAAGCCUGAUCCAGCAAUCCCGCGUGAGUUAUGAAGGCCUUAGGGUUGUAAAGCUCUUUUAACCGGGAUGAUAAUGACAGUACCGUGAGAAUAAGCUCCGGCUAACUCCGUG